rnacentral:lncRNA from 1 species
UAGGGGCCAUUUCGUCGGAUGUAAUUAGAAAUAUUGUAUAGUUGGAGAUGCUGCAGUUAUAAAUAUAUAUAUUUUUUGUUUUGUUGGAUGAAGUAAGAAGUAAUACAACUAUAAAUAAUUCAUUUGUUGCAUGUAGUUUAGAAUUUCAUUUGUAAAAUUGUAUCACUAUGUAUAUAUGGUGGUGAGAUUACAUGCAGUGUAGAAAAGAAAAGAAAUUUCUAAUGAAAAAAUGAUUAGGGAGAUAAGCUUAUAUUUUCUUUAAAGUAACCCUUUCCAACUCCUGCAAUUGAAACUGCAAUCAAUUUGGACGCAAUACCAACUGCUGCAGUUGGGCAUUCCUAUACGGCACCAACUAUAAUAGCCGGAUUCAAACGCAUUAAACCAAGUAAUAAAUUUGAAUAUAUAUGUAGUUACAACUGUAGUAUAGUUACAACUAUAUGUAACCAAACAACUCUUUAAAAAGCAAUAAAAAACCAUGCUAUAAACUAUAAAAUGAAAAAUUAUAUCCUAAAAUAGAAAGAAAUUAAAAAACUGCAUAAGAAGAAAUAGUUGAGGGUAAAUUUUUCAUUUCAUCAAGUUAAUUAGUACUUUAACUCUCCUUUAACCAAGGUAGGAUAAUUUGUAAUAAAUUCGUAUUUAGACUAGUAUACGUGAUAUUUUGGAUUUUGAAGAGAUAUCCGUGAGAUUUUAAAAUUUUAGAAAAGUAUAUU